UACGGAGGGUGCAAGCGUUGUCCGGAUUUAUUGGGUUUAAAGGGUGCGUAGGCGGUUCUUUUAAGUCUGGGGUGAAAGCCCGUUGCUCAACAACGGAACUGCCCUGGAAACUGGAGGACUUGAGUACAGACGAGGGUGGCGGAAUGGAUGGUGUAGCGGUGAAAUGCAUAGAUACCAUCCAGAACCCCCGAUUGCGAAGCAGCUGCCUAGACUGUAACUGACGCUGAGGCACGAAAGCGUGGGGAGCGAACAGG
rnacentral:rRNA from 1 species